UGGGGAAUCUUGCGCAAUGGGCGAAAGCCUGACGCAGCAACGCCGCGUGCGGGAUGAAGGCCUUCGGGUUGUAAACCGCUUUCAGCAGGGACGCGGUACCUGCAGAAGAAGCUCCGGCUAACUACGUGCCAGCAGCCGCGGUAAUACGUAGGGGGCAAGCGUUGUCCGGAUUUAUUGGGCGUAAAGAGCUCGUAGGCGGUUCCGUAAGUCGGAUGGAAAAUCUGGGCUCAACCCAGUGGAGCACCCGAUACUGCGGGACUCGAGUCCGGUAGGGGAGUGUGGAAUUCCUGGUGUAGCGGUGAAAUGCGCAGAUAUCAGGAGGAACACCGACGGCGAAGGCAGCACUCUGGGCCGGUACUGACGCUGAGGAGCGAAAGCAUGGGGA
rnacentral:rRNA from 1 species